GAUGAACGCUGGCGGCGUGCCUAACACAUGCAAGUCGAGCGGCAGCAUACCCUUCGGGGUGAUGGCGAGCGGCGGACGGCUGAGUAACGCGUGGGAACGUGCCCCAAAGUGAGGAAUAACUGCCCGAAAGGGUAGCUAAUGCCGCAUAUGGUCUUCGGAUUAAAGUAUUUAUACGCUUUGGGAGCGGCCCGCGUCGGAUUAGGUUGUUGGUAGGGUAAAGGCCUACCAAGCCAACGAUCCGUAGCUGGUCUGAGAGGAUGAUCAGCCAGACUGGGACUGAGACACGGCCCAG
rnacentral:rRNA from 1 species